GAUGAACGCUGGCGGCGUGCUUAACACAUGCAAGUCGAACGAAGAUUGUUAGAAUGAGAGCUUCGGCAGGAUUUUUAUCUAUCUUAGUGGCGGACGGGUGAGUAACGUGUGGGCAACCUGCCCUGUACUGUGGAAUAAUCAUUGGAAACGAUGACUAAUACCGCAUGUGGUCCUCGGAAGGCAUCUUCUGAGGAAGAAAGGAUUUAUUCGGUACAGGAUGGGCCCGCAUCUGAUUAGCUAGUUGGUGAGGUAACGGCCCACCAAGGCGACGAUCGGUAGCCGGACUGAGAGGUUGAACGGCCACAUUGGGACUGAGACACGGCCCAG
rnacentral:rRNA from 1 species